rnacentral:lncRNA from 1 species
CCAAAGUUAUAGGGCUAUUUUGCUAAGUUCCUUAGAGAGAGUUAUCUCGCGCCCCUAGUUAUUCUCUACCUACCCACUUGUGGCGAUUUCAGGUAUAGGUACCCUUUUAUUUAAAGGUCGUUCGAGUUUUUUCUGGGAGUAUGGCAUGGCUACUUCAGCGCCGUAGUGGCUGGUGCUCGAACAUUGGCUCGAGGCAUUUUCUCUAUCCCUUCUUACCCUGAAAAAGUAGUACAAGAAUAUUCACCUGUUGUCCAUCGACUACGCCUUUCGGCCUUAUCUUAGGCCCUGACUCACCCUCCAUGGACAAACCUUGCGGAGGAAUCCCUAGGUUUUUGGGGCAUUGGAUUCUCACCAAUGUUUGCAUUGUUCAAGUCGACAUUCUUGCUUCUGCUUCAUCCAUUAGUGCUUGUACGGGGGGCUUUCUUCUAAGGCAAAACGCUUCCCUACCGAUGUAUUUUUACAUCCAACAUCUUCGGCAUAUCCCUUAGCCCCGUUCAUCUUCGACGCAAGAGCGCUCGAUCAGUGAGCUAUUACACUCUCUUUCAAGGGUGGUUGCUUCUAGGCAAACCUCCCGACUAUCUCUACACCCCUACCUCCAUUAUCACUGAGCGAUCAUUUAGGGGCCUUAGCUGGUGUUCUGGGCUAUUUCCCUCUCAACGAUGAAGCUUAUCCCCCAUUGUCUCACUGGUCGACCUUGACCCCUAUUAUUUUAAGGUCAUAUCUAAUAUUCAAAGUUUGCCUCAAUUUAGUUUCGUUCUCGCAACCCGCAUCGAAACAUUGCUUUAUCCCUAGAUGUCCAAUCAACUACUGCGCCUCAAUGCAUUUUACGAAAAACCAGCUAGUUCUGGGUUCGAAUGGUUCGUAGAACUAUUUACUCGAUUGCAGACAUUUA